rnacentral:lncRNA from 1 species
GACUGGGCUGAGUUUGUGGCGCGCUUAGUGAUGGGAGGGCGCUGUGCAGGACGCCGACACGAAAAGAUGAAGAGUUCAAUCCGUGCUGUCUGAACUCACAGUGUAGCGGGCGAGAUAGACGGGAAGAUCGGUAGGGUGGGAGAUGCCGGAAAGGCUUCCCGUGAAACUGGAUAAGAAAUCAAAAAUCUGGUGAAAUUGCCGGCAGGAGGGAGUUAAGGACAUUCCAGGCAGAGGCAAGUUAAGAAUUUAAAAGCUGCCCAAUCGCUGCUGGCCCAAAAGUCUCGUCUUAUACAAUAACAUGAGAGAAAGGGUGCUGAUCCAUCAUUAUUCACUCCACGUGGGACCAUAAUGGAUUUUUC